rnacentral:rRNA from 1 species
UACGUAGGGUGCGAGCGUAAUCGGAAUUACUGGGCGUAAAGCGUGCGCAGGCGGUGAGCUGUGUCCGAUGUGAAAGCCCCGGGCUUAACCUGGGAAUGGCAUUGGAAACUGGCUCGCUGGAGUGUGGCAGAGGGGGAUGGAAUUCCGCGUGUAGCAGUGAAAUGCGUAGAUAUGCGGAGGAACACCGAUGGCGAAGGCAAUCCCCUGGGCCUGCACUGACGCUCAUGCACGAAAGCGUGGGGAGCAAACAGG